rnacentral:rRNA from 1 species
UCGAGAAUCUUCGGCAAUGCGCGCAAGCGUGACCGAGCGACGCCGCGUGCGGGAUGAAGGCCUUCGGGUUGUAAACCGCUGUCAGUGGGGAGGAAAUCUUAGGGGGUUCUCCCCCUAGGUUGACCUAUCUUCAGAGGAAGGCCGGGCUAAGUUCGUGCCAGCAGCCGCGGUAAGACGAACCGGCCAAACGUUAUUCGGAAUCAUUGGGCUUAAAGGGUGCGUAGGCGGCGCGGUCAGUCGGGUGUGAAAUCCCUCGGCUCAACCGAGGAAUUGCGCCCGAUACUACCGUGCUCGAGGGAGACAGAGGCGAGCGGAACUGAUGGUGGAGCGGUGAAAUGCGUUGAUAUCAUCAGGAACACCAGUGGCGAAAGCGGCUCGCUGGGUCUCUUCUGACGCUGAGGCACGAAAGCUAGGGGAGCGAACGGGAUUAGAUACCCCCGUAGUCC